AGAAUUGAACUGGUUAGAACCACCCUCUCCGCAAUGGCCAUUUAUCGGAUAAUGGCAAUUGCGCCGUCAAAGUGGUCCAUCAAGAUGGUGGAUAGGCUGCAUAGGGGCUUCCUUUGGGCGGCGGACGAGGUAUCGCCGGCUGGUAAAUGCUUAGUAAGAUGGAGCAAUGUUUGUCGGCCUCGGGAGCUCAGAGGGUUGGGCAUCCAUGACCUGCAGAGACAAGACAGGGAAGCACCUUACGGUCCCAUUGGUGUUGGCUCACAUGGACUGAUAGAGACCGGCCUUGGGGUAAUCUGGUGA
rnacentral:rRNA from 1 species